UUGCAGGAGGAAAGCAAAUAGGAGAGUGUGAUAAUGUUGCCACAGGGAGUGAAGAAAACCGUCAUUGAUAACCCGAAGAAGCUAGCCAAUUUGAUUGACCUUGUAAAUCUCUCUUCCACGCUUCGAGAGUUUGUGGGUCAGUCUCGGAUCUCUCGUUUGGGCUGCUUCAUGCGCGUCUGGUCUUACAUCAAGACCAACAAUCUCCAGGUUCUUUUUUUUUUUUUUUGAUGGGAAAGUAAAACUUUCAUUACUUCAACUAGGUGAAUACAUGUCUAAUCUCUGGUGGUAAAUUUUCCACCAAACAAAAGAUUCCAACUUUUCCAAAGCAACUUUAGCUAAAAGAUGAGCACUAUUAUUACAAGCUCUGGGCACAUAUUUUGUUUCAAAAGAACUGAAGGUCUUCUUUAAGCUCUGAAUUUCCGAGAUAGUCCAGCAAAUCUCUGUUAAAUUUCUCUCUCUAUCGUUUAUCAGGUCUGCUACUUCUUUAGAAUCUGUUUCCAGAAUUAUUGAUUGCAUACCCAUUUGCUGAGCUAUUUGCACUCCCCAUUCAGCUGCUUUUGCCUCCACUAUUGAUACCACUCCGCUGAAUUUUACAGCUUUUAUGCCUGCAGCCAUGCAAUUUCCAGUGGAGUCUCUGAUUAUUGCACCUAAUCCAGCACAACACUUUUUUGAAUCAGUAGCUGCAUCAACAUUGAGCUUUAGCCAUCCCUGGGGUGGGGGAGUCCAAACUGUUUGCUUUAGCUUCUGCAAUUUUCCUCCAUUCGUAAUCUCUGGGAACUGAGUUCUUCUGAAGGCCUCAAUAAUUGCUUCAGCUUUGGCCAUUGAUAGUCUUGGAUCUAACUUCAAAUCUUCGAAGACCAAUUUGUUUCUGUCAUACCAGAUCACCCAGAGAAUAGUCAUCAGCAUUCCCAUAUCAUCUCUACUUAGCUUCUUCUGCAGCCUCAUUAAGUCUCCCAGGAUAUCAGUAUUUCCCAUUUCCUGAAAAGAACUUGCCAGCGGAGAGAGUUGCCAAACUUUCUUUGCAGCUUUACAAGUAAUCAGGGCAUGUAAGGUGUUUUCCACUCUAUUGCCACAAUGUUUACAGUAGGCUUCAUGAAUAAUCUUUCGCUUCCACAAAUUUUCAGCUGUGGGCAGUAAAUUUUUUGCUGCCCUCCAAAUGAAGAUCUUGAUUUUAGCAGGGAGAGUGAGCUUCCAAAUAACAUUCCAGUUACUACUACUACUGUUAGAGCAAUUAGGAGAGUCUGGAAAUUUUGAAUUUAGAGCCACUUGGUAUCCACUUUUCACUGUAUAUUUCCCUCUUUUAUCGUAAUGCCAUAUAACUUCAUCUUCACUUUGUCUCCUAGGCAAGGGAAUGCUUAGAAUGGCUUCUGCAUCAUCCUUCACAAAGUUCUGCUGAAUCAGGUCUGUCUUCCAAUUAUUUUUGUCAUUUACCAGCAUUGAAACAGUGGCAUCUAUAGGCAUCUUAAUUCUGGAGAGUGGCUUGAAUGUUGAUGGUCGUGGAAUCCAGUUGCCUCUAUACACUGAUAUUUUCUCCCCAUUUCCAAUUCUCCACCUAUGUCCGUUGUGAAUGACCUGCCUUCCCCAUAUUAUACUCCUCCAAAUAUAGGAUGGAUUUGACCCUAUAGAGGCUCUAAGAAAAUCAGUCCUAGGGAAAUACCUUGCCUUCAGUACUCUAGCUGCUAAGGAUUCAGGAUUUUGAAUUAGUCUCCAGCUUUGUUUUGCAACUAAUGCUUGGUUAAAGCUUGAAAUGUCUCUGAUCCCCAUCCCUCCUCUGAUCUUGGCUCUACUCAUUUCCUCCCAUCUUGUCCAGGGGAUGCCUUUCUUGUCUUUCUUCUUGCUCCACCAAAAACCAGCAAUAUUUCUUUGAAUGUCAUCACAAAGCCCCACGGGAAUCUUAAAGACACUCAUAGCAUAAGCUGGAACAGCUUGUGCCACAGCUUUGAUCAAGACUUCUUUACCCCCACUCGAGAAAAGCUUUUGCUGCCAGCUAGAUAUCUUGCUUUGAAUUCUCAGUUUGAUCUCGUUGAAAAAAGUCUUUUUCUUUCUCCCGAUCAUAGAUGGCAGCCCCAGAUAUUUCUCAUGUCUUGACACAACAUUGAGCUAGAAAAUUCUUUUAAUAUCUUCGGCUUGCUUUGUUGGAACAUUUCCACUAAAAAACAUGCAUGAUUUAUCAUAAUUGAAGAUUUGUCCAGAAGCUGUGGCAUAGCACUAAAAAAUGUUCUUUAAAUGCUGGCAGUCUUUGAUUGAAGCUUGUGAGAAAAUCAAGCUGUCAUCUGCAAAUAAAAGAUGAGAAAUGGAUAAUUGUCGCCUAAAUCUCAGCCCCUGAAUUUGUUUUUUCCUCUCAGCUUGUAUCAACAAAUUUGAAAACGCUUCAGCACAAAUUAUAAACAAGUAUGAGGAUAGUGGACAGCCUUGCCUCAAGCCCCUUUGAGGGGUGAUCAUCCCCUGAGGGACUCCAUUGAUGAUUACAGAAAAAGUUGCAGAAGUAAUACAAUUCAUUAUCAGAUUAACAACAUUCUCCUCAAAGCCUAAUCUACCCAUAGUCACCCUUAAAAACUCCCAUUCCACCCUGUCAUAAGCUCUACUUAUAUCUAACUUUAAAGCUACCAAACUAUUUUUUUUCCCUUUGCUAUGUCUAAUCUUAUGAAGACAUUCAUACCCAACUAUGAUAUUGUCAGUUAUUAAUCUGUUGGGAAUGAAUGCGCUUUGAGAAGCAUCAAUGACAUUAUGCAAAAUAGUUUUCAAUCUUUUAGCCACUAUUUUGGCAGUGAUUCUAUAGAUUACAUUGCAAAGGCUUAUUGGUUUGAAUUCGGUCACUUUCCUAGGCUUGGCACACUUGGGGAUUAGAGCUAUAUAGGUGUGGUUUAAGGGGGCAAUUGUACCUGUGUUAUUGAGGAUGUGAAGGCAUGUAGAUAUGACUUCUUCCUUUAUUGAUUUCCAAUGCUUCUGAUAAAAAGCAGCAGGUAACCCAUCAGGUCCGGGAGCCUUAGUUGGACACAUUUGGGCCAGGGCUUCUGUAAUCUCCUCCUCUGUGUAGGGCUGACUCAUGUAUGCGUUCAUUUCUGGUGACACUUUUGGCCUCAUUCCUCUCAGGGCAUCUUCCAUAUGAUCUUUGGUGGGGCUGGAAGUUGAGAAUAAGGCUCCAAAAUACUCACAAAAUUGAUUAGCAAUUUCUCCAGUCUCUUUGAUCCAGUUGCCGUGAGCAUCUUCUAUUCCCCAUAUUUUAUUUUUCCUCUUUCUAUAUGAGGCUUUGUGAUGGAAAAAUUUCGUGUUUUUAUCUCCCUCUGUAAGCCAAUCUGCCCUGGACCUCUGCUUCCAAUAAAUCUCUUCAUCCAGUAAGAGAUGGUGGAUCUGUCUUUCAACGCUUCUCAAUUCUUCAAUACUUUCAUCCAUCCGUUUGUGAUGCUAGAUAUCCUUGAUUCUGUUGACCAGCUCUUCAAGCUUCUUUUUAUUACCUUCAAAAGUCCUCUUGCUCCAGUGAAUGAGGCCAGCAAGAGAAGCUUUGCUAACAUGCUUAAAGAGCUGAACUACAUCAGCCCCCUCCCACUUACCAUGCUUAGCCCAAUUCUCUUUAAUAAUUUCUCGACAUUCAUUAUAAGAGCUCCAAAAAUCCUCGUAGUGAAUUCGAGAGAAACAUUUCCUCUUAUAAUGCCCUUCCUCAUCUUUGCUUUUAACAGCCAUCAAUACUGGGUUGUGAUCAGAACACCAUGUAACUAGAUUAGUUGCAGCUUGGUCCUGGAAGAGAUUUGACCAUUCUUUGCUACACAAAAAUCUGUCUAACCGUUCCUCAAUGAAGUGGGUUUCAGACCUCCUAUUGGACCAUGUAAAUGGGUAACCAUUAUAUCCCACAUCUCUAAGAUGACAAUCCUCAACAGCUUCUCUAAAAUCAAUGAUCAUACUAGGCUCCCUAUCAUUCCCUCCAUUUUUCUCAUUCAAGUGCAUUAUUUCGUUAAAAUCACCGAAACAAAGCCAUGGGGAUGAUGACAAACCAGCUAGCCUUCUUAGUAGAGUCCACGUGUGUUUCUUUUGGUUUGUUUCUGGAUGACCGUAUAUCCCAGUACAUCUCAUCUGGUCUCCAUUUUCAGUUACUAUCUCUGCAUCAAUGUGGUGGCUGCUGAAUGAGGAAAUAUUCACAUGUGUUAUUAAUAUAUUCACUUUUUUUUUUGGUUAUUAAGGUGAACUAAUUUAUGAAAGAAAAUGUGACGAUGAGAAUGAAAUUGAUCAUUUCACUUUUUUGUUAUGUAAUUGUAGAAGUGGAAAACGAUUAUGUACUGAUAAAAUCAGGGGCAGAACAUUGUUUAGGGAGAAAGAGGAAAAUGUAGCAGGACGCCACGUGUUGAUGAGCGACAUAACUCCAGUAUAAUUCGAGAUAUCAUGCAUAACUUGAGUAUAAUUAGAGGUACCUCGCAUAAUUUAAGGUACCCCACAUAACUCCAGUAUAAUUCGAGGUAGUUGCCCUAAGCCGUUUUAAUUAGAGGUACUUUGCAUAAUUCAAGGUACCCCACAUAACUCAAGUAUAAUUCGAGGUAGCUGCCCUUAGCUGUUUUAUCUCCAAGGCCAACCCCGACUAAAUUCGCGUGGUUUUUGACAUGAAGUCGCCAUGCACCAUCAAGGAGGUUCAAAGCUUGGCAGGUCGGGUAGCUGCCUUUAAUCGUUUUAUCUCCAAGGCCACCGAUCGUUGUAAGCCAUUUUUCAAAGCUUUGAAAGCGGGCAAGAAGCUCAAAUGGACCCUCGAUUGCGAAUAAGCUUUCCAAGAAUUGAAAGGGUACCUCGUCAAUGCUCCACUACUUGCCAAACUUGAGCUAGAUGAGGUGCUUCUGUUGUAUCUCGUCGUAUUCGAGCAUGCCACCAGCUCUGUUUUACUCCGAGAAGAUGAUAGUGGGGUACAACGACCUAUUUACUACAUCAAUAAGGCUAUGGUUGAUGCGGAAAAGAGGUACCCCACCUUUGAGAAAUUCGUUUUAACGCUGGUUGUCUCUGCGAGGAAGCCCAGACCAUAUUUUCAAGCUCACACCAUUACAGUCGUCGCCAACAUUCCCCUCCGGCAAAUCCUCUAGAAAUUAGAUAUAUCCGGAAGGCUUCUCCGAUGAUCCCUUGAAUUAAGCGAGUUCGACAUCAUUUAUAAGCCUCGUUCAACCAUCAAAGCUCAAGCCAUUGUUGAUUGCAUUGCGGAUUUCGCCAAUGACUCCUGUGGUCAAAGGGAGCUUGGGUACCCGAUAGAUACCACACCCAUUGAUGAAGGGGGGCAGGUUUGGGAGAUAUAUGUGGACGGUUCCUCUAAUUCACACGGAAGUGGUGCGAGAAUAAUUAUCAUAGACCCGAACAAGGUGAAGAUAUGCUAUGCUCUGCAAUUCGGAUUUAAGGCUUUGAACAACGAAGCCGAAUAUAAAGCCAUCAUAGCGGGAUUAAGGAUGUCGAAAGCUUUAGGAGCAAAAAAUGUACACAUCAAAAGCGACUCCCAAUUGGUGGUAAGCCAGAUUACCGCACAAUAUCAGACAAAAGUGGAAAACAUGAAGGGGUACCUCGGGAAAACCAGAGAGUUGAUUUCCCAGUUUAUUGAAGUUAAAGUGGAAAUGGUACUUCAACUAGAGAACAAUGAAGCCGAUAAUUUGGCAAAAAUGGCGUCCCUUGGUGCAGCUUAAUCAGCUGGUCCUAUCACAACAGAACACAUACCCGCCCCCAGUGUUGAUCUCCUAGAGCCAUUGGAAGUAGGAUCAUUGUCCAAUAGGGUGCCUUAGAUAGAGUCUAUAAUAAGAUGCCUCAAGGGCGAGGAUUUCCCCUCAAAUAAAAGUGAAGCAAGAAGACUGAAGUAUAAAGCUGUGCGAUAUUGCCUGAUCCAGGAUACCGUAUACAAAAGAGGGUUCACUCUUCCUUACCUUAAAUGCUUGGGAAGCGACCAAGCCGAGUAUGUCACAAGGGAGAUACAUAAGGGGAUUUGCGGCAAUCACUAUGGAGCAUAAUCAUUGGCACAAAAAGCUCUCCGUUAGGGAUAUUACUGGCCUACUAUGCGGGAAUAUGCUAAGAAUAUAGUAAGAAAUUGUGACAAGUGCCAAAGUUUCGCCAGGGCACCCCACCUACCCCUAGAGAAGCUAACAAUUAUAUCUUCUCUUUGGCCCUUUGUUAUCUAGGGAGUGGAUCUCAUUGGCCCGUUACCUACCAGGAAGAGGCAAGCAAAACAUGCAAUUGUGGCGGUAGACUAUUUCAUAAGGUGGGCGGAAGCGAAGCCACUAACAAGUAUUACGGAAAGGAAAACCACAGAAUUCAUUAGGAAGAACCUCAUUUGCAGAUUUGGGAUCCCUUAUGCAAUUGUUAGUGACAACGACAAGCAAUUCGAUAAUGAAAAUUUUCAAAAUUUUUGCUCGGAGCUUGGGAUAGCCUACCGAUUUGCUAUACUAGCCCACCCCCAAUCUAAUGGGCAUGUCGAAGCCAUCAACAAAUCAUCAAAGGUAUCUUGAAAAAGAAGCUGGAAGAAAGAAAUGAAGCGUGGGUAGCCGAGCUGUCUGGAGUGCUGUGGGCCUAUCAGACUACUCAGAACACCUUCACUGGGGAAACCUUAUUUUCUCUUGCAUUCAGUGCUGACAUGGUUAUCCCAUCAGAAAUCGGGGUACCAUCUCACAGAGUCGAAUACUUUGAUGAAGCCGAGAACGCCUCUCUGAUUGCUUCUAACUUUGACUUGGUGGCUGAAAAAAGGGCUAGAGCAGAGUUGAGGAUAACAAUAUACCAUCAUCGCAUUUCGGGUUUGUAUGAAAAAAAGGGUACGCCCUUGAUCAUUCAAGAAAUGAGAUUUGGUCUUGAAGAUGGUAACUCAGAACACUAAGGUACCUUGUGAGGGCACUUUCGAGGCAAAUUUGGGAAAGACCAUACUGCGUCGACAAACCCUUAGGGUCAGGUGCAUACAGGCUACUUUACAUGGAUGAGACAAUCGUGAUGCACUCUUGGAAUGCUGCGAUGCUGCAGAAAUAUUACUAGAGGACAAUGUUUUAAUAUUUAGUCUUUUACUGUUAUAUGCUUUCUUUAAUGUUUGUAUAUGGUAGGCCACGUGGGGUACCCUAGAUACCCUACAUUACUUUAGUUCCCAAAUGAAAAGAAUAGGAGGUCUUACGGUCUCUCGUUCUCCUUAGGAUAACAAAACUAAGUCAUGUAUUGGUCAAUACUUUCGUUAUCGAUGAAUGCAUUUUUAUUAUUCGCCACUUUGAUCAUGAAAUGCAGAUUAUAUUCGUUUAUCGCCAUUAAUAUACCCUCAUAUCUGAUGAUAUGUAAUUUUUGCUAUACGCUUGCCAAUUAUGACUAACUUAUUAUAGGACCAGCUGGGGUACCUAACAUACCUAGAUCAUGACGAUCUACUUGAAGCCAAAAUUGGCAAGGGAAUGAACAACCCAUGGAUAGCCUUUCUGCAGAAGCAUAACAAGGCUACCUAAAUGAAGAGAUGGAGGGUCAAAGAAGACCCGAGGGUGAAGUAAAGCCAGUAUACCCUAGCGCCAUGAGGUUCCGCUUAGAUAUGCAUACACUUGCACCUCAAUUCUUAAGUAAAAUAGGGGAUAGACAAUUCAAAAAUUCAAAGAAAACUUCGAACGAGUAAGAAAUUAAUUGGGUAGACCAAUUGCGUGCUCUCAAUUUUAAUCAAGAUGUUAUGAUGAUGUUUUGAUUACUUAUUUAUGGAAGAUCUGCCAUAAUGUUUGAGAAAGACAUGCACCAAGUGCGUCUGUCUACAUAAGCCAGCAGACACAUGAUGUCAUAUAUUUGUUGGGUACCUGGGAUACCUUAUUUCAGAGAAAAAUUCGUCACAUAUAAUGAGAGGUACCCUAGAGAUUUACAAGAUAACAGUUUAACUAAGCACUCAAAUGUAGGGUAACGAGGAUACGAAAUACUACUAGAUGCAAGCUCAAAACAUGGAAGGCUCGGUAGCACAAUAUCAUAACAAUAGAGACAUCUUAAUGAUGCAAAAUAUCCUAAGAAACCAAAAAGAAAUAAACAAGUUCCAAAUAGCAGAAUAUGGGUAGCUCCAGAAAAACAACAACAUGAUAUAAUGAUUACGCUGAAGGUGGUACAUCAUACCCACAAUAUUUCUCCAGAGGGCGGUCAGUAGAGGACUCUGAGUUACUCGAAAUAUGAGCAGCCGAAGUAGGGGCAUCUGAGGUAGGCAAUAACUGGGGUAUGCUGGGUAUCCUAGGUGACCUGAAAUGGGUACCUGACUGGGCAGGGGAAGACUUCUUCUUGUCUUCAAUCACCAUAAGAAUCACAGUCUUAUUAACAUAUUUCUCCAUGUGGGGUACCUCAAGUUCUGGAUCCACGCUCCAUCCCUUCGUCAUGAUAAAGGAAAAUGCCUCAUCCGCAAUCUUCUUUUGGCGAGAUAGUAGAUCCUCAUUUUUUGCCCCCAACUUGUCAUAAUCCUUAUCUACCCGAGCUUUCUCUCAAGAUAGGUCAUCGAGGCGUUCCUUCAAAGCCUUGACUUCCCGAACAAGCUUAUCCUCGCGAGACUGUUGGCUUUGGAGCUCACCUCUUAAUUUUUCAACCUCCAAUUAGAUAGCAAUAAGGGAGUCAAGGUCUAGAAAGCAAUAGCUAAGGAGAAAGGCUGCCUGCAGAUUGUUAAAGACGUGUUAUAUAUGUAUACGACAAUAUGAAUAAAUAAAUAAAUAAUGGAGGGUACACCCGGGGUACCCGAGGAAGGCCUAUUUCUAGGGUAGCCUUAAGUGCCUAACCGUAACGUUCGUUCAAACUCAUCUUGUCCGUUUCCUCUGCGAAUUCAGGGGUAACAUUUUUAGUGGACUAAUAAAAACAACGUGCCAGGUGUGAGACCUUUUUGUUGGACACUGGGUCUAGGGCACUCUCACGCAAAUAUUGGGGAAAGAGGAAACCAACCCAAAUUUCCUCUUUUUAGAACGAGGGGUACCCUUCGAUCAACUCUGGGAGGUACCAUGUGAUUUCCCUUUUACUCCGGGUACACAGGGUGGCUGCGUAUUCGUUUGGGGAAGUGCAGAAUCCUGAGAACCAAAAGCUCCACCUAUCACUCCUUGAAAGAAAGUGUUGAACGCAUCGCCCGCUGAUUCUAUGUCUGUACCAUAACACGCAAAAGAAUGAUGUCAGUUGGACAAACACUAAAUGCUACAAACACAAAACAAAGGGAAGCAAAAAAACAGUGAACCUAAAUGAAAAAUACAGUGAUGACAUGGUACCCUAAUCACGUAGAUAAAAAUAGGGUACCUCUCAACACCCAAACCAUACAUGAGUCACCACCAGAAGCAGAUGAAAAACCUCUGUCAAUCAGCCCCGCUCUGCCCAACCUACUCUCUUUCAACACAUCACUACCCCUAUGUAUGCCUCAAAUCCUCACCACAUACUUACUCACUUUUUUCCCUACCUCCCGAAUUGGGCAUGACCUUUUUGUCCACGUCACACCUACCAAACUAUGGAGAGUCCAAGAUUAGCGAGACAUUUGUACACGUGGAUUACAAUAAAGAACAAUAAACAGUUAUAAGGGGAAUACUUACAGUCUUCGUUGAAGAAAUUUUGAACCUGCAUAGGGUUGCCAUCAUCACAUAGAGUAUUCAUCCCCCACUUACCUUCAGCAACAAACCAACCCUUUUUAUAACCAUUCUUUAAGGUAGGGUCCCCUCUAACAAGAUUGCCAUAGGUACCCCAAGAAGAUAAAUAAGCAGCAACGGGACCCUUGGGCUUCUUGAGUUGAUAAAGUCUCAUCAAUUCCCGAAUAAAAAUGUCAUGCCCCAGAACUUCCGACCAUAAUACUUGCAAACCUGUAAGUGUCCUCCACCCUAGAAGAGACAGCUGCCCAGUGGCUACCCCCAAAUAACUAAACAUCUUUAUGUAAAAAGGUUGGAGGGGUAGGCAAAGUCUAAGGUCCCAUCUGACAAAGGGCGCCCUGGUCGCUCAUCUACACGAGAUACCCUAAGCUGGACGGAAAAAGGAAUGUUGUAUUUAGUCCUAAUCUGUUCUAAGUCGCCCAAGGUAGCCCUCCUAGCGCCUAGUGAAUAAAGGUUACUAGAUUUUAAAACCGGGACAGAGAGGGACUUGGGAACUCAAUUUGAAGAACGAACUGCGGGGUUAAAUAACUCCCCCAUUUUUCGAGAACGGCGGUUGGUCGUGUAUCAGAAAAACGUAGACUAUUACAGGAAACACUCCUAAGGGGAGGAGGCCCAGAAUAUGAGUUACCACUGUUAGAUAUCUUGAGGGGAGAUCUAUCGCCUUCACUAAUGGAAAUAUGAGUGGGAGAUUCCGUGAGAGGGCUGUCUACACUACCACUCUCAACCACACUGGACCCUUCACUCACAAACUUUUCUUACCCAUUUAUUUUUUUUUCUGCCAAACACCAUCAGAUCACAAAUCCCAACAACAUAUCCACAUCACACAUCACCCACUAUACAUCACCCACCAUAUCAACCACCAACCAUAACUAACAACAUGAAAAAUAAAAGAACAAUUUUUUUCUCAGAAUAUGCAAAUGGCGCCACAAAAGAUGCGCUAAGAAAAUAGGAAAGGAAAAAAAAAAGGAAUACCUCAAACUCACCAACUACACGAAUCAGAAUUUGCAAGCACAUAGUGAUAAAGCUGCAAUCACCAAGGCCAAUAAGUAAGAUCGUGCAUAUAUGUAAACACAAAUACAUAUGCACUUAUAAAAACCAAGAAUCAUACAUAUAUGAAUAAAUAUAUGUGUGUUAAAAAAAUCAAGUAAAAACAGCUAAAGAAACUCACCUGAGAUAAUAGAGAUCCACCACAAACAGCUAAGAGGAAUUGUGAAUCACCAAAGAUUGCUUGAAUGAUGAAGCCAUGCAGAGGCUGUCAUAGGCACAAAGAAACUCGUUAGGGGUUUCACAAAAAAAACGGCACGAGGAAGAAGAUAACGAUCGGAAUCCCGCUGAUCACCGUUCAGAUCUAACUCUGAUAAACGCGAUAGGAACCACCGGGAAUCGUCACAAAAAAUCGUGAAGAAUGACGACUAGCUAAAAAAAAAGAGAGAAAAAAUGGAAGAAGAAAAGAUGGAAUGAGAAGAAGAAGAAGCGAGGAAGACAACGUGGGGGGAAGAAGUACCGCGCACCGAGCUGCCAGACAGGGGUUUCAUCGAAAAUCGUAACCCACGGCGGAACGCCAGCCAGAUAUGAUGCCAAGGACCGUUGCAGCGACCGCCGAGAGUUCGCCAGAAAUCGCGCGAAGUGAAGGCCAACCGAGAGAGAAUAAAAUGAAAAGAAAAAAGAAAAAAGAAAGGAAAAAAAAAGAAAAAAGAAAGGAAAAAAAAAGAAGAAAGAAAAGAGACAAGAAAUAAGAAGAAGAGGAAGCCAUAGACAAUGAUGUGGAAGGGCGUAAAAAAAAAGGAUGAUUGUUUACCAGUGUAUGCAACGUUAAGAAAGCCGAGGAAAAAACGAGAAUCAAGGAAAAAUGGAGAAGCCACCAGAAGCAAUCAACUUUAUAAGAGAUUUUUUGGGAUUUUCAAAAUAAAAUGGCAAGAGAAAAAGAGUGGAACAUGUUUUAAUUAAACCUGACAAAACAUACUGCACAAAAAAGGAAGUCAAUGAUAUUUGCAUAAGAUUAAUGUUUUUAAAUUUAAAUUGUGUGUCAGACGACUGCCACUUCCCAAGAGAACCGGGAGAGACGUGAACACAAAUGUUCAUUCCCCUCGUCAGUUGAGUUAAAAAAAGGGGGAGGGAGGAGAAUGAAAAGACAAAGAAAAGAUUUCUAGCUCCGAACUACAUGAAGUUUAGUCAGUAAAAAAAAAAAAAAAAACUAAGCAAGGUACCCCCAGUCCAACCACCCACCAAGCUAAACUCCACAUCGCCAUGCAUCGCUUCUACUUCAUAUACAAGUUUCUUUUGCCUCCAAUACUUCUCGCUAAAAAGAAACUAGGGGGUGUUGUUUAGGGAGAAAUGGGAAAAUGUAGCAGAACGCCACGUGUCGAUGAGCGAAAUAACUCCAGUAUAAUUCGAGGUACCCCACAUAAUUCGAUGUACACCACAUAAUUCGAGGUACCCUGCAUAACUCGAGAGUAACUCGAGGUACCCCACAUAGCUCGAGGUACCCUGUAUAACUUAAGGUACCCAACAGAUCAGAUUCAGGAAAAUCCUCUGAAAAAGUCCGUCAUGAGAAAUGUCUCCAUCGCUUGAAGGAUAAUAUUUGAUUUUGUCAGAAUUAAAUAUCAAAACAUCGUACUGAAAAGUGGCGAUAGCCGCUUGCCACCUCUGCUAAAAGUAAAGGAUGCUAUCCUAAGGACAAUGGUCCUCAGCCGCCUUACCAGACAGCCAUUGCUGAGGUACCCUGGACUAAGGGUGGGCAAACAGGUUCAGUUCUAUGAGCAAAAACCGAAUGGUUUUAAAAUUAAGGAACCGAUUAGUUUUUGUUUAGUUCGGUUUAAAAUCAAACCGAAUCGAAAAAUCAAUCGGUUCGGUUUGAUUUAAUUAUAAAUACUUUUUUAAUUGAAAAGUAAAUGAAAAUAUAUAAACCAAAAACAAAUCUCUAAAAUCCCUAGCUACGUUUCAAUUUUCCACCCACUGCCUCCCUCUCAUCGCCCACUCCUCUCCCAUGCCUCCUUUCCUUGCCUCUUUGUUGCGCGUUUCUCCCUUUCCACAUGGCGCAAAACUUCAGCUCAGCCCCUCUCGACUUCUUCCUCAUUAAAGUCUCUCCCUCGCGUCAGCUCAGCCCCUCUCUUCCUCGCGUGCACGGCUUCCUAGCACAACCCCUUAGCAGCGACACAACCCCUUAGCAGCGACACAACCCAUCCCCUCAAGCACGGUGACAACCCCUCACAAGCCUAGCACAACCCCUCUCUUUGGUGUUGCAGCCUAUAUGUGUUUUUUUAAUUUUAAUUUAUGCCAUGACCCGUACAAAGUGUGUAAAGAAUCUUUAGUUUCUACUAGUGUUACUUGUGUUAGGGAUUGAUUAUUUGAUUUUGUGGACUACUGAUGUAUAUAAUAUACUUGUUGGUGGAGUUAAAAAUACUGGGCAGAUAUAGUGGUUGUGGAGGCUUGUGAGUUGUGGCAGUGAACAGAAAUGGUUGUAAUGUUGUAUUAUAUAUUGCGGCCGGGAAUUGAACAAUUGAAAAUAGAUAAAUGUAUAAUGCUUCUAUCAAUGAAAAAUUGGAAAUAAUAUUUGUUAUUUAACUUAUUUGGUAUAAUGAUUAAUGACUCAAUUAGCUUUGUGAGGUUGCAAUUUGAUAUUGGCAAUUUGGCAUAGACAAUUCAAAUUAAAUUAAUAAUUAUUGGAAGUAAAUUAUGAGAUGUUGGCUUAAUUUGUUAAAUUAAAUUAUGAUUUUUCAGCUACUAGUUAAUUUAACUUUAAUUGAUCUUUUUGGCAUGGAUGAUUUAAAUUAAAUCAACAAUUAUUGGAAGUAAAUUAUGAUAUGUUGGCUUAAUUUGUUAAAUUAAAUUAUGAUUUGUUGGCUAAGAGUUAAAUUAAAUUUAAUUGAUCUUUUUGGCAUGAACAUUUUAAAUUAAAUUAACAAUUAUUGGAAGUAAAUUAUGAUAUGUUGGCCUAACUUAUUAAAUUAAAUUAAAUUAUGAUAUGUUGGCUAGUAGUUAAAUUAAAUUUAAUUGAUCUUUUUCAUUUCAAUAGCUUGUUAAUAAAACAAUAUUACUUAUUUAUUUUUAUUUUAUUCAUUGUAGAUGUCUAAUUAUUCAAGAGUUAUGUCUAAUUAUUCAAGAGUUCAAGACAACCUCGAUUGUGUAGUCGAUGAUCUUGAGCGUGAAGUUGAAGUUAAUGAUAGUGAAAAUGAUUCGCCAACAAUUAUCACCAGCGGAAACAAGAGGAAAAAGUCUUCAUCAUCCAAACCACCACUACCAAGGAAAAAAAUCGCUCCAAGAUCAGCAACGUGGCAACAUUUCACUAGACUUCCAGAUAAUGAUAAGAAGUGCAAAUGCAACUACUGCGGUAAUGAAUUUGAAUGUGGUUCGGUAGGGUACGGGACUAGCACUUUGAGGACUCAUUACCAAGAAAGGUGUCAAAAGUAUAAGGACCUUCAGAAAGACCAAAUGACUUUAACUCAAGAUGUCGGUAGUGAUGAAAUUGUAGCAAGAGGUUUUAGUCAGGAUGCUUGCAGACGAGCAACUGUGAAGAUGAUUGUUCUUGAUGAAUUGCCUUUUUCUGUUGUGGAGAAUUCGGGUUUUAAGCAUUUUUGUAGCGUGGCGGCUCCUAGAUAUCUUCUUUCAUCACGAAGAACCAUUAUUAGGGAUACUCUUGAUAUGUAUGUCGAGGAAAAGACUAAGUUGAAGAGCUUAUUGGUUGGGAAUAAGCUAAAAGUAUUUUUUACCACUGAUAUUUGGACUUUCAUUAUGACAGUUAGCUACAUGGUCAUCACAACUCACUUUAUUGACAAGAAUUGAAAUUUACAUAGAAAGAUUAUUUGCUUCAACAUGGUUAAUGAUCAUUCAUCAGAGACAAUUGGUAAGCAAAUUGAAAAAUGUUUAAUUGACUGGGGCAUAGAGCGAGUGUGUGCUGUAACGGUUGACAAUGCAAGUCUAAAUGAGGGUGCUCUUAGGUACUUAAUUGAUCGACUAAAGACUUGGAGGGAUGAUGCCUUAGUGUUGAAUGAUGAUUAUUUGCAUGUUCGUUGUUGUGCGCACAUAUAGUUAGUGUUCGAAAUAUUGUGAAGUAUGUGAGGUCAUCCACCGCUAGGAUGCAAGCAUUUCAAAUUCGUGUGUAACAAGAGAAGAUUAAUCCCCGAGGAAGUGUGAUUUUGGAUUGCUCUACUCGGUGGAAUUCUACAUAUUCCAAGUUGAGUACAACAUUGAAAUUUAAGUCGACAUUUGAUCGAAUUGCACUUGAAGAUAAGCUUUAUGAUGCUUAUUUCAAUGAAAAUGGGAAGGGGGGGGGGAGAGAAGAAAAUGGAGGGGCCACCGUUGUAUAAUGAUUGGGAGAGUGCUCGUCGCAUAGUUAAAUUUCUGAAAUUUUUUAUGAUGCGACUUUGUAAUUUUCUUCUUCUUUGAAGGUAAUAUCACAUCUUUAUUAUGCUUUUGAAUUUUGAUAUAUGAUAUGAAAUUUAUUUCAGUUUUAUUAUGCUUUUGAAUUUCGAUAUAUGAUAUGGAAUUUAUUCUAGCUUUAUUAUGCUUUUGAAUUUCGAUAUAUGAUAUGGAAUUUAUUCUAACUUUAUCAUGCUUUUGAAUUUCGAUAGAUGAUAUGGAAUUUAUUCUAGCUUUAUCAUGCUUUUGAAUUUCGAUAUAUGAUGUGGAAUUUAUUUUAGCUUUAUCAUGCUUUUGAAUUUCGAUAUAUGAUAUGGAAUUAUUUUAGAUUUAUUAACAUUAUUUUUUUUCUUUUAGGUGACAUCGAACAUUUAUUACAAUUUGAUAUGUCAAAUUAAACAAUAUUUGGAAUCUUUGUCUGCUAGUAAUGAUAGCCUUUUGGAUUUGAUGGCCAUUAAAAUAAAGGAGAAAUUUGAUAAGUAUUGGGAGGGCUGUUUCAAGAUAAAUAAAAUGUUGAUUGUUGCUUCUGUACUUGAUCCACAUGGAAAAAUGAAAUUUGUAACACAUUGCUUUGAGAAAUUAUAUGGUAAGGAUAGUGCCAAAUGUGUUGAGAUGAAGGAAAUGAUGAAAGAUUUGUUGACUAAGCUUUAUGAGUUUUACAAUGCACAAUAUAAAUCGGGUGGUAGUGGAAGUGUAAGUGGAAGCCAAACUUUAGCUAUUGGAAGUGGAAGUGAUUCGAAUUUUUGGGAUUUGGGUGGUGAUGCUGAUGUUAUGAUUGAAGACAUUUUCUCUGAAUUUAGUAAGGCGGUUGCAGUUAGUGAAGGUAGCACAAAAUUGUCAAAUGAGUUGGAUCUUUACUUGAUGGAGAAGACGGAAAAAAUUGCAAAAGGUAAUUUGGGCAUUAAAUUUGAUAUUUUGUUAUGGUGGAGGGUGAAUAGUGCCAAUUAUCCAAUUUUGUCACAUAUAGUAAGGGAUGUUCUUGCUAUUCCAGUGUCUACUGUUGCCUCAGAGUCCGCCUUUAGUACUGGAGGUCGUAUUCUAGAUCAAUAUAGAAGUUCGUUGACUCUGGACAUGGUUGAGGCACUGUUAUUAUUACAGAAUUGAUUGCGGUCUUCUAUUUUUGUGGAGCCAACAGCGGACUUAAAUUAGUUAGUUGAAGACAACGAGUUUAUGGAUCAGCUCACGGAAUGUAUAUUUUGUUUAAUUUUAAUUUAAGUUUACUUUUAAAGAAUUAUGACCUUAUACAAUUUGUUUAAUUUUAAUUUAUUUUUUAAGUAAUACGAACCUUAUUUAAUUUGUUAAUUUUUUUUUAAUAUAGAACUUCGUAAAUCAACAACGGCCAAGCAACUUGGAAGAUUAACAUAAAUAAUUUUUAGGUAAUAAAUUGAUAUGUAUUUAUUUGUUAUUAAAUAUCACUUCAUUUUAGUUAGUUUAGUUAUUCGCUUUCGCUCACUUUAAAUUUUGAUUUAGGUGAUGUGGAAUUGUGGAUGUUGGAUGUAGUUGUGGCUUGUUUGUUGCGGUGGAUGUAGCUAUGGCCUAAGUGUUAUGGUGGAUGUAGUUAUGGCUUGUGUUAUGGUGGAAGUUUAUCGAAUAUUGAUGCACUAUUAUUGACUUGUUAUUUUUUUUUUUUUUUUGGUUGCCAUGGACUUCUAAUUUGUAAUAGACUUUUAAGUUUAAGCAUGUUUAUGAAUUGUGAAUAUUUUUUAUUGGGACAUUUAUUAUUUUGCUUUUGAUUUAACGGUUUUAUACUUGUUUGUUCAUAUAUAUUGUUAUUAAUAUUAUGUGUGUAGAGUGUAGUUUGGUACUUGGUAGUUAAUGGGAGUGUAAACUGCAAAAUUAACUAAAAUUAGGUGGAAAGCAUAAAAUUUGAUAAUAUUAGGGUAACUAUGUAAAAUCAAGAAAAUAAAAAAUCUAAACCGAACUGAAAUAUUUCGGUUCGGUUCCUAAAUUCGGUUUGAGUUUGGUUAAUAAUCUUAAGAACCGAUCGGUUUUGCUCCUGAACCGAACCGAACUGACUAUUGCCCACCCUACCCUAGACCACUCUCCAGCGCACGCCACGUAUCCAAAAAGAUAAGAUACGCCGUGAAUGCCUUCUUUAUUCCUAAGCAUGCACAUAACGGCCCAAAAAUCAUUAAAAAAAAAGUAAAAAGACCCAAAAGGGCUAAAAAGGGACAGCCAAUAGCCAUAAAAAUACGCCACGUGACAGUUGAGGUACUCCAUAUAUAAAGGUGUCUAGGUUUUAUUCUCUAUGACUAUUCAUUCAUCCAUGAAUACUCACACUCCACAAAAUAAGUUUUCUUCAACCUUAAACUUCGAUUUACAGAGGGCUGGCAAACUCUCUUUGCCAUAAAAAAAAAAAAGCUUGAGUUACUACCUUGAGCGUCGGAGUGAGAACGUCGAGGCACCCCGACAUCACCUCUAACUUUUAUUUCAUUGUUUUGCAGCGUAGAAGCUCAUUUCGAAGGAUUCUUUUCCUUGAUUCAGACUCCUCACCGCCACCACCAGCCUCUCAACCUUUCUCACCCCCUCUGAAUUUCAUAAACACCGCACAAAAAAAAACUAGUGAGGUGCCCCAGUUUCCCGUGAAACAAAUUUAUUGUUAUAGAUAGGUUUUCCUCUUUUUCUUUGAACCCAAAAUAUGUCUAAAACAAACAUAAUGGAGACCAUACUAAGCGGUGGCCUCUAUAAAAAUUUCAAUUUUUAUUUUUUUUCAAUAUACAUGAUAUGUCUUAAAUUAUAAUAGAAGUUAAAAAAAAUAUCAUUAAACUAAGUAGAAUUCACUAAAUCAUCAUGAUAUUUAUCUUUUUAGUCCUUUGUAUUUUAGUUUUUGCAAUAAAUACAUGGCCUAAUCAAUCAUAAUACCUAAAUCCUACCUUUAUUAUAAUUUGAUUAUAAUCUGCCCAUUUUUAUAGAAAAUAGCAGGUAAUGAUUCUCUUCUCUAACUCAAUAUCCAAUUAAAAAAACUCACUAUCUAACUCAAUAUCCAAUUAAAAAAACUCACUAUCUAACUCAUGUCUACAUAUUUAUUAUUCUAUUCUUUUAGAAUCUUAAUUUUUUUUAACAUUAUUCACUAGGCCCCUAUAAUCAAAAUUUUGAGCUUCUGCCCCUAGAUCAGAUGAUCUGAGACUUGUUUAUUUAACACUUUAUUAAUUUGUUGUCUUGUUUUAAUUUAGCACAUUUAAGUGACAAAAUUUUGCAUAUUUUGAGCAAUUAUUUUGUGUUUUAAUGUACUUCAAAAAAUUUUAGGCAUCUCUAAUUAUAUACACAAUUGUUAUUGAUGCAAGCUGUUAUGUUAAAUUUACUUGAGCUUUUGUUGAUGUUCUUUCUCCAUCCGGGCUUUCUAAUAAUUUAAAUUUUGAAAGACGAUAUUUUUAUUGUUUAAAUUAAGGUCUCUCCAAUUAUUUUGUUGCCUUAUUGUUGCCCAAAAAAAAAAUUUCAGGUCUUAUUAACUUAAAAAUAAUUCUUAUCAUUUGAGACGAUCGGUCAAAAUUCUUGAAAUACAUGUAUUCUAUCGAUUAGUUAUUGAUGUAUGAAAAUAAAAAAAGAAAAAAGAAAAAUAAUUAGUUAAAGAAGAAUGAUUAUUACGUAAUAUUUUCCGGAUUAAGAUUCCACUAAAUGAAAAGAGAUAUUUCGGUAAGAAUUAAUACCACCUUCAAUUGUCUAAAAAUGGAAUCCUAGUUAUAUCAUUCAUGGAUCAUAUUACCAAGAGACAAAGAAAUUGACAUAUUUGAGCCAUGUUUCUCACUUGGUUUAUCGUUAGAAUCAUCUAGCGGAAGUGCCAAACCCAUCAUAAGAUUUGAAGGCUUGGAAGACUACUUACUCUUUUAAGAUACAAUAUAUAGUUGUGAAUUUCUUUUCCCUGACAUAAAUGUUGUUGUUACUAUUAUUAUUAUUAUUAUUAUUAUUAUUAUUAUUUUGAAAAGUGAAAGAAUACUCUUCCCGUCUUCCGUAUCUGUGGAGGAAACUAGCCCAAACUGCUCUUACACUGUCCAAUGGGCUUAUCUUUAUCGAGGUCAUGGGCUAGUUAACAUUUGGGUGGGCUCUUUCGCGUUCCUUCACAAAAAGUCAAAAAAGGCGUUUUCUAUUUCAGCUUCAAAGUCGAGCUCGCCAUCUCCUGUGUAAGACUGUAACAUCUCUUUCGAGGUGUCAACUCAACCCAUUCUCUUUCCUCUCUUUUACAUUUUUAUUUUCAUUUUUAUUUUUAUUUUUAUUUUUUAAAAUGGGUAGUCCACUUUUUGAAGUUAACUUUUGGUUAUCUCUUGUUUGUAAUAUUCAUACAAUAAUAUUCAUAUUCAUAUAUGCGUAUCAAAUGUUCGAUAAAAUUCCCCUUAAGACUCAGUGACAUUACUGCGAGGCAUGAGAACGUAGUUAGUUUCGUUUACCUGGUGGUUUAAAGUGGAAGAAGUAAUCAUUUUUAUAUUAUACAGUGGCUUACCGUAUAUAUUUGUUUGUGAGUUGCAGGAGGGAAGCAAAUAGGAGAGUUUGAUAAUGUUGCCACAGGGAGUGAAGAAAACCGUCAUUGAUAACCCGAAGAAGCUAGCCAAUUUGAUUGACCUUGUAAAUCUCCCUUCCACGCUUCGAGAGUUUGUGGGUCAGUCUCGGAUCUCUCGUUUGGGCUGCUUCAUGCGCGUCUGGUCUUACAUCAAGACCAACAAUCUCCAGGUUCUUAAUCUUGCUUAUUAUUAUUUUCCAGUUUCCAAUAAAAAGUAUAUAUGUUGGUGAUUUUACGUGUGUCUCCAAACUUUAAUAAAUAAUCUAUGGUAAUCAUGUGUCUAUCCCAAAGGUGAUGCUUUGAGUGUCCUAACUGUGAUGCUUUGAGUGUUUUGUCUUAGCAUAUAGUACAUGCAACUAUCUAUACCAACGGAGCUGGCAUGGUAUGUUUAGAUGAGUAUGAAUGUGUUUUUUUAUUCUCGUUUAUUCAUUUUGACAUUUUCAAUUUUAAUCUUCCAAUAAUUUUGUGCAACCUUAGUUUGUAUAUGUAACUUAGUUUGGUUGUGUUACUCAUUAUUGUAUGAAUGAGGCUCUUGUUUUAGCAAUUGAUUAGCUUAACCUGAAGGAGUUAGAAUUUUGCAUAUUGCGUUCGAUUUUUAGUGCUAUGAUGCCGAUAUUCCAUCAUUUUAUUUAUUGUUUUAGCAAUUAAAUAUCCUAACCUGAAGCAGUUGGAAUUUUGCAUAUUGCAUUUGAUUUUUAGUACUAUGAUGCUUAUAGACCAUCAUUUUCUUUCCUUCUUAUUUUAUAGCAAUUUAGUUGAAAAAUAUUUAUUACUAACUUUUAUACUUUCAUUGGAUUAGG
rnacentral:lncRNA from 1 species